UUGCGGUGUAAAAAUGAGCGUGUGUCCUAUUAGCUAGUUGGAGAGGUAAUAGCUCACCAAGGCUACGAUGGGUAGGGGUUCUUAGUGGAAGGUCCCCCACACUGGCACUGAGAUACGGGCCAGACUCCUACGGGAGGCAGCAGUAGGGAAUAUUGGUCAAUGGGCGCAAGCCUGAACCAGCCAUGCCGCGUGCAGGAUGAAGGCUCUCUGAGUUGUAAACUGCUUUUGUACAGGAGCAAAAAAACCCCUGCGGGGGUUCUUGAGAGUACUGUAAGAAUAAGCACCGGCUAAUUCCGUGCCAGCAGCCGCGGUAAUACGGAAGGUGCAAGCGUUAUCCGGUUUUAUUGGGUUUAAAGGGUGCGUAGGCGGCUUAUUAAGUCAGUUGUGAAAUCCUAGUGCUUAACGCUAGAACUGCAAUUGAUACUACUAGGCUUGAGUUUAAGAAUAGGUA
rnacentral:rRNA from 1 species